rnacentral:rRNA from 1 species
CCUACGGGAGGCAGCAGUGAGGAAUAUUGGUCAAUGGACGAAAGUCUGAACCAGCCAAGUAGCGUGAAGGAUGACUGCCCUAUGGGUUGUAAACUUCUUUUAUAUGGGAAUAAAAUGUUCCACGUGUGGGAUUUUGUAUGUACCAUAUGGAUAAGGAUCGGCUAACUCGGGGCCAGCAGCCGCGGUAAUACGGAGGAUCCGAGCGUUAUCCGGAUUUAUUGGGUUUAAAGGGAGCGUAGGUGGAUUGUUAAGUCAGUUGUGAAAGUUUGCGGCUCAACCGGGAAAUUGCAGUUGAAACUGGCAGGCUUGAGUACAGUAGAGGUGGGCGGAAUUCGUGGUGUAGCGGUGAAAUGCGUAGAUAUCACGAAGAACUCCGAUUGCGAAGGCAGUUCACUGGACUGCAACUGACACUGAGGCUCGAAAGUGUGGGUAUCAAACAGGAUUAGAUACCCCUGUAGUC